AUUCCGAGGACAAGAAGAAGAGGAGGAGGAGGUCCUGAGAGUGUCAUAUGUGCAUUGUUUUUUCUUGUUUCAAAAGUAGAAGGGGAAGAUGUAGAGGGUGGACUACUCAGGGCGAUUGCUGCUGAUGUUGUGUUGUGUUAGGUCAGCAAGUAGUGCUAAAAUUAUUUUGCAGGAAGAGAAGGCAGCGAGAAGAUGUUCCAGGAACUGAGCCUAUUCCAAGGAACAAGACCGGUAACAGCUAGCGCAAAGGAGACUAUGUUGAGAGGUGGCGCUGCUAGACUUGUUGAUGUGUAGUUAUGGCAUAAAAAGCUGAAAAUUAUUGUAUAUUGUAUAAUUCCAUAAGCUGUACGUAGCAAAUCUGUCCAUGUGGAUCAGUACAACUUAUGUACAGCCUUAAAUUCACAAAUCUUAUAGUCAUCUUUGUAGUACUCUUCGUAACACUUUGUAAAGCAAGAGUGGCCCAUUUUCUGUAAGCAACAAUUCAAACG